AGAGUUUGAUCCUGGCUCAGCGCGAACGCUGGCGGCAUGGCUAAAACAUGCAAGUCGAACGCGAAAGCGGCUUCGGCCGUGAGUAGAGUGGCGAAAGGGCGAGUAAUGCGUCUUUAUGUACCCUCAGGUGCGGGAUAGCUCAGGGAAACUUGGGAUAAUACCGCAUAAUACCGUAAGGUCAAAGGCUUGCUGCCUGAGGCUCAGAAGACGUCCUAUCAGCUAGUUGGUGAGGUAAAGGCUCACCAAGGCGAAGACGGGUAGCCGGUGUGAGAGCACGACCGGCCGCAUCGGGACUGAGACACUGCCCGGACUCCUACGGGAGGCUGCAGUAACGAAUAUUCCACAAUGCGCGAAAGCGUGAUGGAGCAAUGCCGCGUGCGGGAUGAAGCCCCUCCGGGGUGUAAACCGCUGUCAGGACCCAGGAAGAUCUGACCGGGUCCAAAGGAAGGGCCGGCUAACUUCGUGCCAGCAGCCGCGGUAAUACGAAGGGCCCGAGCGUUGCGCGGAAUCACUGGGCUUAAAGCGUGCGUAGGCGGACUUGCAAGUACUUUGUGAAAUCCCAGGGCUCAACCCUGGAACUGCUCGGUAAACUGCAAGUCUUGAGCUAGACA
rnacentral:rRNA from 1 species